rnacentral:rRNA from 1 species
CCUACGGGAGGCAGCAGUAGGGAAUCUUCCGCAAUGGACGAAAGUCUGACGGAGCAACGCCGCGUGAACGAUGAAGGCCUUCGGGUCGUAAAGUUCUGUUGUUAGGGAAGAACAAGUGCUAGUUGAAUAAGCUGGCACCUUGACGGUACCUAACCAGAAAGCCACGGCUAACUACGUGCCAGCAGCCGCGGUAAUACGUAGGUGGCAAGCGUUGUCCGGAAUUAUUGGGCGUAAAGCGCGCGCAGGCGGUUUCUUAAGUCUGAUGUGAAAGCCCCCGGCUCAACCGGGGAGGGUCAUUGGAAACUGGGAAACUUGAGUGCAGAAGGGGAAAGUGGAAUUCCAAGUGUAGCGGUGAAAUGCGUAGAGAUUUGGAGGAACGCCAGUGGCGAAGGCGACUUUCUGGUCUGUAACUGACGCUGAGGCGCGAAAGCGUGGGGAGCAAACAGGAUUAGAUACCCUGGUAGUCCACGCUGUAAACGAUGAGUGCUAAGUGUUAGAGGGUUUCCGCCUUUAGUGCUGAAGUUAACGCAUUAAGCACUCCGCCUGGGGAGUACGGUCGCAAGCGNGAACUAACAAGAAGUUAGAGCGUUGAGAGNGCCGAGGCGACGACGAGGGAGGAGG